ensembl:lncRNA
GUGUAAUCAUUUCUAGGUAGAGGCCCAUCUCCACAUAGACCCAGUGUAAUCAUUUCUAGGUAGAGGCCCAUCUCCACAUAGACCCAGUGUAAUCAUUUCUAGGUAGAGGCCCAUCUCCACAUAGACCCAGUGUAAUAAUUUCUAGGUAAAGGCCCAUCUCCACAUAGACCCAGUGUAAUCAUUUCUAGGUAGAGACCCAUCUCCACAUAGACCCAGUGUAAUCAUUUCUAGGUAGAGACCCAUCUCCACAUAGACCCAGUGUAAUCAUUUCUAGGUAAAGGCCCAUCUCCACAUAGACCCAGUGUUAUCAUUUCUAGGUAGAGACCCAUCUCCACAUAGACCCAGAG